rnacentral:sRNA from 2 species
UAUUUUCCGUGCGGUCCUAUUGCAGCGGCAUCCUUUUUUAGUGCGCUUGGCGGGCUAAAAAAGAUACAGCGGAAAGAGCGACCCGAU